GUCUUCCCAAGCAGCCAGGAGACAGGGAACUGACUUCUUCCUCCUCAUGGUCCACUUGAAAUUCCAGGAAAAGGAACAGAUGUGCAAGGAAUUGCAGCCUGGAGAAACAUAGUGUAUUUGGAGACUUGCAUGUAAAUGGAUAAGUAGGUGUAGGAGGAGAAGCUGGGUCACAUUUUCCUAAAUUUUAUUCCACAAAACACUAGUUCUGUGAGACGCUCUAUGGAAAUUGGUCCCAUGAUCAGUACAUUUGGGGCAUGCUGCAUGUUGUAUUCCCUGUUGUCUUAUAUUGGAUUUCCUAAAAAUAGACUCUGAGGUGGAGACUUAUGUGCAGAAGGUCUCUUGGCGAAUGCUCCAGGGAGGCGUGCGUGUAAGGAAGUGAGACAGACCCACCUCAGGCCCCUGGGACUUCCACUGGCCAGACGCCCUGUGCCUACUUGUGUCAUGGGAUACAGGGCCCAUCUCUUCCCAUCUCCACACUCUGACCACACGCUAGUAGCUUGAAAUCAGCCAUGGUGCAACUAUUGGCAUCACAAAAAUGGACAAAUGCUUCAAACUGGGGCCUGACUUAUUGUUUUGUUGAUUGCCAGGCUUAAAAAGUGAUGGAAAGGAUGCUAAUAAUGCAUAUUAAACCAAAAAAGUGCGUCAUGUCUGUAGCUGUGACAUUGUGAAUAGCACAAGCAUUGAGGUUACAUGCUUCUGAUAUUUGAAAACCCUUAUUGGAUUCAACAAAGAAUUCACUCAUGUCAUUGUCUAUCAGGUGAAGCUCUGAUGCACAUUUUUUGCUUUCACUUUUGCCUUAUUCAUUAAUAUAAACAGAAUGUCAAUCAACCUUCAUGUUGUGUCUACGCUCAAUCAUCCCUGAUGACCCUACGCUGACUACAGAUGCAGAAUUCAGCAAAAACCAAUGAAAGCAUUCGGUGAGAAUCAAUGGCUAUAUGGAGCUUACAAUAAACCGUAUUGUGUAUUUUAUUAUUACGUAUACGUUGUGUGUUACAUAUCUGUUAUAUCAGCACAAUUUAUAGUAAAAUCAUGUAGUUGGUGAACAUUUACCAGCAUAUCACUGGGGCUGGUGGAGUUUGGGUGGGAGCAUCUGAGAUUGCCGUUGGAGAAUGCUGCAGCCAAAGUCUACUGGCAAAGACAUCCCGUGCCUCUCAGGACUGGCA
rnacentral:lncRNA from 10 species